rnacentral:rRNA from 1 species
GACGUAGGGCGCGAGCGUUGUCCGGAUUUAUUGGGCGUAAAGAGCUCGUAGGCGGCUUGUCGCGUCGACUGUGAAAUCCCGCGGCUCAACUGCGGGUCUGCAGUCGAUACGGGCAGGCUAGAGUUCGGUAGGGGAGACUGGAAUUCCUGGUGUAGCGGUGAAAUGCGCAGAUAUCAGGAGGAAUACCGGUGGCGAAGGCGGCAUCCUGGACCGGCAUUGACGCUGAGGAGCGAAAGCCAGGGGAGCAAACGGG